UUUAUGGAGAGUUUGAUCCUGGCUCAGGAUGAACGCUGGCGGCGUGCCUAAUACAUGCAAGUCGAGCGAACGGACGAGAAGCUUGCUUCUCUGAUGUUAGCGGCGGACGGGUGAGUAACACGUGGGUAACCUACCUAUAAGACUGGGAUAACUUCGGGAAACCGGAGCUAAUACCGGAUAAUAUUUUGAACCGCAUG
rnacentral:rRNA from 1 species